AGAAUCAACGCUGGCGGCGUGCCUAACACAUGCAAGUCGAACGAGAAAGUGGAGCAAUCCAUGAGUAAAGUGGCGACCGGGUGAGUAACACGUGACUAACCUACCUUCGAGUGGGGGAUAACCUCGGGAAACCGAGGCUAAUACCGCAUAACAUCGUGAGAUCAAAGCAGUAAUGCGCUGGAAGAGGGGGUCGCGGCUGAUUAGCGUAGUUGGCGGGGUAAUGGCCCACCAAGGCGAAGAUCGGUA
rnacentral:rRNA from 1 species